rnacentral:rRNA from 1 species
ACUCCUACGGGAGGCAGCAGUGGGGAAUAUUGCACAAUGGGGGAAACCCGUGAUGCAGCCAUGCCGCGUGUGUGAAGAAGGCCUUCGGUUGUAAAGCACUUUCAGUAGGGAGGAAGGUAGUGUAGUUAACACCUGCAUUAUUUGUACGUUACCUACAGAAGAAGCACCGGCUAACUCCGUGCCAGCAGCCGCGGUAAUACGGAGGGUGCGAGCGUUAAUCGGAAUUACUGGGCGUAAAGCGCAUGCAGGCGGCCUGUUAAGUCAGAUGUGAAAGCCCGGGGCUUAACCUCGGAAUUGCAUUUGAAACUGGCAGGCUAGAGUCUUGUAGAGGGGUUAGAAUUUCAGGUGUAGCGGUGAAAUGCGUAGAGAUCUGAAGG